GACAGAGGUGCCGAGCGUUAGGCGGAAUCACUGGGCUUAAAGCGUGUGUAGGCGGACCUGUAAGUGUCUUGUGAAAUCCCCCGGCUCAACCGGGGAACGGCUGGGCAUACUGCGGGUCUUGGGCCACUCAGGGGUCAGCGGAACAAGCGGUGGAGCGGUGAAAUGCGUAGAUAUCGCUUGGAACGCCGACGGCGAAAGCAGCUGACUGGGGGUGAGCCGACGCUGAGACACGAAAGCCAGGGGAGCGAACGGG
rnacentral:rRNA from 1 species